GGGCCCGUGGUGCAGUGGUAGCACGCCGCCCUUGCAAGGCGGAGGUCCCGGGUUCAAUUCCCGGCGGGUCCACCA
rnacentral:tRNA from 2 species